UUAACAUCACGUGCAUUUAUCAUACUACAGAACUCCAAAUAUUUCAAAUUCAUUUCCAUGAAUUUCAUUAUACGAAAAUAAAUUCGAGAUUUUUAAACCAUAUAAGUCUUCAAAUUCAAUUAAUCGUUCGUUUCCGUACAAAACUAAAUGUAUGUAAAUAUACUAACUUAAAUUCUGGUUAUUCUGGUUAUUAAUCUGGUUAUUCUUAUUAUUACGCUAUUUUAAUUGUCUAAUGGAUCAACUACGUAGGUAUACCAACCUAGCUAUAAUAUGAGUAAAUAACCACUAACCUAUUUUCCGUUUAAAGUUAUGUCUAAGUUGCGUCGCACGGAUAGUAUG